UACGUAGGGUGCGAGCGUUAAUCGGAAUUACUGGGCGUAAAGUGUGCGCAGGUGGCCGCGCAAGUCGAGUGUGAAAUCCCCGAGCUUAACUUGGGAAUUGCGCUCGAAACUACGUGGCUCGAGUGUGGCAGAGGAAGGUGGAAUUCCACGUGUAGCGGUGAAAUGCGUAGAGAUGUGGAGGAACACCAGUGGCGAAGGCGACUCUUUGGCCUGUAACUGACGCUGGGGCGCGAAAGCGUGGGGAGCAAACAGG
rnacentral:rRNA from 1 species